rnacentral:rRNA from 1 species
AGUGUGUGCGAAAUAUGCGGAAGUUGUGUGGAAGGCGGGCAUCAUGCUGUCAUCGCAUGCACUAAAAGUGUGGCACUCCGCCAAUCCAUGCGGGCCUUUUGGGGAAUCCCUAGAGAAUCUGAACUUAAACACACGGGUGUGGACUGGCUGCAACUGCUGCUACUAUCCCAGACCGAGGAAGUCAGGACCAAACUCAUGCUAAUCAUGUGGCAGGCUUGGAACUUAAGGAAUAAUGUGGUUCACGGUGAUGGGAAAGAUACAAUCUCGGGUUCUGUCCAAUAUCUACUCAGACUCCAUGAUGAUAUACUGAUGGCAGCAUGCGCCCCGGCCAAUGAGGGCGGUAAGAACAAACAAUCUCUGUUCCCGGCCAAGGCACACGGGGUGUCCAUAUCUGAACCAAGUCACUGGAUGACUCCCCCGGCCGGAAGAGCAAAGCUAAAUACAGACGUUGCUUUCCUGGUGGAAACCGGGCCGGGAAGCAUGGGGCGACGCGGUAGCCAGAGACCACAAGGGUCAUGUGUUUUUGUCAGUGGGCCGGCAGCUACCCCUUUGCAGUUCGGUGGAAGAAGCAGAGACUGCAGUUGCAGUGAUGGGGUUAACUGA